ACGGUGAACUCGUUUCAGCCGAUCGUCGCUUCGCUUGUCGUCUUCGAUGAACUUUGACGGUGUGGAUGCACUCUCUACUCGAACUGGCUGAAUUCUACGCUCGGCUUCGAUCCGGUUCUACCGAGUUAUUAGUGAAGCGUGUUAUCGUGGAAACACCGGUGAAAAGGAAGCCGAUACUGCCAUGGACGAGAAAUUUUGAUCGAGCGUGCUACUUAUACCUUUUGAAGAGUGCGAAUACAGGAUUAUUAAGACCGGAUGCAAUGGAAUAGUUUAUGUCGAUAUCUUUUUUAUGUGGACGAUAAUGCAUCGUCGACGUGACGGUUGGAAAUUGGGCGAAUUAGUUUG